AACAUGGGUGCAUGAACUUAAGACAUUGUUUGGCUUAAAGAUUAGUUUUUGAUAGUGGAAGAAGGAAGAGAUAAAGAAGAGAAGUUUAUGUUCUCUCUCACAAACUCCAUUUUCGUACUCCAAUGGCAGCAUCCACUAAAUCAGGUAUAUCUCUCUACUCGUAAAUCCGAUUGAGCUGAUUCUGGUCCCAUUGGAAAGCUAACGAAUUUCUCUUCGAUUUGCACCUAUGGUUCGCGUUUAUAGCUUCUGUUUUGGAGGAGAAAACUGACCUUGAAGUUGUGUUAGUCAUGCUGAAAGUAUGAAGAGAGUAGAUACGGGUUUGAUGAAGAUGAAGUGAAACUUUGGCUAUGGUGGGAGUUCAAUGGCAGCAAGAACAUGAUCUUAACCUCCAUUAAAUCCAAGGUACAGUUUAGUAGUGGUUGGUCAGUAGCGGGUUUGGAUUGAAGAUUUGGAAGUGGUGAUGGCUCGGAGACCUCGUCAGAUCUUAUUUUCCGCUGUGCAGAUCCAUUGAAGACACAUGUUUUGUAAUUAUUAAUAUUAUUUCAUGUUGUAUUUAUAUGGAUCAUCUUGUAUCUUUGGCUUUUGUAUGUACUCAAAUACCAAUUUUUAACGUUUCAUGCAUAAUAUACUAGUCAAUUAUGUAUGGGGUGUUACAGUUGGUAUCAGAGCAGGUCGAUUCUCGGCCGAGCCAUGAGACAUCACUAGCAAUUCCUUUCCUCCUCACAUGUGUGCAUUGCCAGCCUGAUUUUACUGAUAUCUCAUUCAGUUGUUGAACUUGAUCAACUCAUCGACUGAGUGUGGGACGGUAGAAUUACGGCAGAGCCGCCACGAGGACUUGUAACCUGUAAGUGUCGUGAACCCAAGUAGUAAGGAUUAGUUGGGUGGUGAAUUAUAUAUGGAAGCUGGAUUUAUUGGACGACGUAAGUAGAAGGGAUGUUGGAGUUGUCAGACUUAAGGAGAGCGUUUGAUGCGAAGUGGUGAUACCCAAACUGUCAAAGUAUGGAUCGAGAUAACUAGAACUCACAAGAUUUUGAUUGGACGGAGUGAAACUUUCUUUAAGUCUUGGUAAUAGCAAGGGAAAUCCAGUAAGGAUUGAGAUAGGGCCUUGUAAGUGAGAUUCUCCGAAGGUGUUGAGCUGGGAUUUAUUAGGAUUCAGUACUGAUGAUGCUGCCAGUGUUAGGUGUGGCUGGUGAGCUGAUAGGACAGAAUAACCUUUGGAAGCGCGGAUAGAGGAGUCUGACCUUUCUGAUUACGCUGGUACAGACAGUGAUUGGAUGGGCGAAGUAUUAAAUUCUGAAUUUGCUUGGUGUACCUAAGAGGGAGUGGUUACCUGGUAAAGGUUGGUGGAAUGUAUGAAUAUGGUAACUUACGAUUGGGUGAAUCUUGGAUACCUGAUUGAUGGUAUAGGGCAUGCAUUUCUAUUCUUAUCAUUUUAUAUUUAGGUUCUAGAACUACGCUUGGCGUUAGGAGUUCAGCCGAGUAAGAACUAAGAUCUAUCUGGAACGUCAAUAGGAUGAUCGCAGUUGUGUUGGUUGUUAGGAACCAUAGUAUUCCUAUCUGGACUGAAUUAUCCUUGGAAUCUCAUGCAUGCGUGGGACGAGUGGGUACGCGCAUUGCAUGGUAACCCGAAGUUGAACUUCAAUCUUCGUGCUUAGCAUUUUGGCUUUCCGAGUAAGUAAACCUUGGUGUGUAGCACUCUCAGGUUUUAGCAUCCUGAGGAGUGUGAUUCGAAGGACUUGAGGAACGAUGAGCCUAUUGGAAGCCUGUUCAGACACUUGUCGGUUGUGACUUUAGGAUACGCGUGGAGAUCGUUAUACGCCACUGAGGUAGUUUACCUGGAUACAUGGCCUUGGAGUUAGACCACCAUGUUGGUACUACCAGACGGGUAUAAUGCCACAGUAUCGUUAUUGUGCACAAAGAUGCGUGAGUCAUCUUUUUCCGACAUGUGUGGGACAAAGGUGACCUGAAGCUCAAGGUAGAAUUCUGAUUUGGCACUUGUGAGAUGCAGAUCCAGACUCUCAUAAGGUAUGUGGGAUAAGGAUCCAUACGUUGCGCUCGAUAGUAGAGGAAUGACUAGACAGGCGAUGGUGUAAUGGAUCAAGAUCCAAUACUAUACUUAUGGAGACCCUGAGUGAUCGUGAUCGCGUGAGUUAGUAUCAGAUUGUACCUUGGGAUGUUCUCGUUUCAUGAAGUGUUAAGUUGGCAAUUUUGCAUGAGUGUCUAGGGUGGAACUCAUGUGCGGUCAUGAUAUCCUGGUCAGCAUGGUGAGUGGCUAUCAUAUACCAUUGGCGACCAGUGAUAGACUAGGCGAAAUGUAUCUUGGAUCGGCUCGAUGUGAUGUGUCUGGUAGAGUAUUGGUAGAUGCUCAGAGUAAAGAAGUGUGAAUCUAGGUAAAGCAUAGACAUUUUGUUUGAGAACUGCUGAGGAGUCUAUGAAAGAGACGUUCGAGGUGCAAAGUGCAAUUUCUUGCAUUGUGGCUACACUCUGACUGUUAGAAGCACCGCAAUGAAGGAUGCAGCCUCCGAGGAAGUCAGUUCAGUGUCUGAUUUAGAGGUGGAACAUACAUUAAAUGACUGUGUGAAUGGAGUGUGGCUAUGGGAGGAUUGUUAUAUCAGUAAGUCGCACGAGUUAUCAUAGGUGAUACUACGCUAAGAGAAUGAAGGUGUCUGGUUGGGUAGAAGUUGCGUAAAACUGCUAGAGUUAUCAUGAGUUGGAGUACAUUCUUGAAGGGUUUAUUAUACCAGUUAAGCAACAAGAAUUGUUGGAAGGGAAAAACGUAGCAGUUGUACACUGUGGAAAUCAGUGACAAGGACGAACCUCUAAGUCAGUGAGUAUUUGGGUUUCAAUAUCCUGAGAUCGAAACGUGUGCCUAAGUUGUGAUAGAUGGAUCUAAUAUGAAAUGAUAGAUUAACUAGAGACUUGGUUCUGGGAAUACGCAACUUCGAGGAGUUGUAGUCGGCGAUGGAUGUAUAUGGAUUCCUGGCACAUGUUGUAUUUGGACAGCUGUAGAUAAGGAAUUAUUGUGUAUUAAUGGAAACUAACUGAAAUAUGGACAUAGCGUAACUCAGAGGAUUUCAAGGUGUGUGAAUUGUUGGAAUCAGAGUAGCGCAGCGGAUCGAGGAAGAACCAAAUAAGUCUGAGGUAGGAAUGAACGGACUAAUUGUAGGAUCUUAUCUUGGGAUGGAAGUAUCUUCCCAAGAGGAACUCGUCGAAGCAGCAUUUCGUUUUGUCAGUCUCUCUCGGGGAUCCACCAUAACCACGAGAGAUACCGAUAGUGGGCCAGAUUGGGGAAUAGACCUUGUGGAUGACAUGUGAUCCGAUGUUUGUAGAUCAUCAGUUGAACUUGUAAGCAUCAAGGGUUGGACAUAGUAUCGUGAUCGCCGAAAUGCUGGAGGCUAGUGGAGACAUUCAGCUGGCACCAGUUCUUUGUGGUUAAGCCUUGUGCACUAUGAUCGUGCAGGAAGACUCGGGCAGUGGUUACAGAUCAGCUAUUGAAUUUCACCUCUCAUCAGUAGAAUCUUGUGUGAGGUUGUCGAAUGUCAAGGCUAUAGUUGCAAGAUGCUACGCUAUCAUGGAUUGCGGUGAUGACUGAUACAUCUAGCACUGAGGCGAGAGUUAAGUAAGGAGAUUCAGUUGUAUAAGUAAGGGGUAAACUUUAGACAACCAUCCUAACAUUUUGGAAACCAGAAGUUAGGACCAAGAUAUUUGGCUAACGCCUAAUGUCAUUAUAUGGACUUUGGUAGGGAAUAAUUUGAAGCGUCGUCAUAGAACGGAAUGUUAUGACAAGAAUGCUUGGAUGGGAAGUAAUUCAAGGGGCCUGAGUGAAUCAAUAGGUGUGUUGGACAAGGGUGAACACAAUAGAGUUUGAACAGCAGAUAUCCAAUAUGAGUGGAUUACUAGGGUUUCUGAAGUUCUAGGGAUUCGGUGCAGAGCAGUAAAGGUCAAGGACCCUGGAAGGAUAUUUCCCAAGGUAUGUCAAGACGAAGUAUCUGAAUAGAUGUGUUGCUUGACGGUUAAGGUUUCUAAUCAUGUAUAGUGGGACGCAAGUAUUUUGGCAGAUUGUGUUUCUUCGUAUAGGAUGAUCCUCAGACAGAGUAGUGAGAUUAUCUAAAGACGAAUGUGAGUAACAUUCUUUCCCUGGAUUGGAUAGAUAAGAAGGGUUGGUCUCCGUGGUAACCGGAAAGAAUUCGAGGACGAAUUCAAUUUAAGGGGGGGAGAAUGUAAUAUCCCACAUUAAUCCAAGCAAGAUUAUAUAUGAAGUCCAAGAGGAAUUAUGAAUUUAAUCCUUAAUUGAGAAGUGGUUAGUUAAAGUGGAAAGAGUUUGGUUGGAAACCAACUAGAUGGCAAACUAGUAAUUUUGGCAUGGUUAGAGGGCACAUUGGUCAUUAAACAUGGGUGCAUGAACUUAAGACAUUGUUUGGCUUAAAGAUUAGUUUUUGAUAGUGGAAGAAGGAAGAGAUAAAGAAGAGAAGUUUAUGUUCUCUCUCACAAACUCCAUUUUCGUACUCCAAUGGCAGCAUCCACUAAAUCAGGUAUAUCUCUCUACUCGUAAAUCCGAUUGAGCUGAUUCUGGUCCCAUUGGAAAGCUAACGAAUUUCUCUUCGAUUUGCACCUAUGGUUCGCGUUUAUAGCUUCUGUUUUGGAGGAGAAAACUGACCUUGAAGUUGUGUUAGUCAUGCUGAAAGUAUGAAGAGAGUAGAUACGGGUUUGAUGAAGAUGAAGUGAAACUUUGGCUAUGGUGGGAGUUCAAUGGCAGCAAGAACAUGAUCUUAACCUCCAUUAAAUCCAAGGUACAGUUUAGUAGUGGUUGGUCAGUAGCGGGUUUGGAUUGAAGAUUUGGAAGUGGUGAUGGCUCGGAGACCUCGUCAGAUCUUAUUUUCUGCUGUGCAGAUCCAUUGAAGACACAUGUUUUGUAAUUAUUAAUAUUAUUUCAUGUUGUAUUUAUAUGGAUCAUCUUGUAUCUUUGGCUUUUGUAUGUACUCAAAUACCAAUUUUUAACGUUUCAUGCAUAAUAUACUAGUCAAUUAUGUAUGGGGUGUUACAUCUGCUUUUUGUUGAACUGUCAUCAUGGGAUAGUUCUCUUAUUGCAGAAUUUUGUGGGGUUUUUAGAUCAAUUGAAAUAGCUAGAGACAU